GGGCCCGUCGUCUAGCUAGGCGUGGCCCUAGAAUGGAUAGGACACCAGCCUGCGGAGCUGGGGGUCCCGGGUUCAAGUCCCGGCGGGCCCA
rnacentral:tRNA from 1 species